rnacentral:lncRNA from 1 species
CAAGUUCCCCGUGGAAAGUGAUGUGAGAAGCUUCAGCAAUGAGGGCUGUAGAGGAAAUAGUUUGGGGAGGGUUUGUGGUUUUUGGUUUUUCUUUUUUUCUUUUUAAAAUAAAUAUUUGAGGCUCACUGCGGGAGCUGAGCAGCAGUGUGGUAAGUAUAUCAAACACAGAGAAUCCCCAGAUUAUCCGCUCAGAAGGCAUUAGCUGGCUGCUGAACACAACCAUCUUGAACCUGCGGAGUGAAGGUGCAAAAAUAUGGAAAAGUAAACAAAUAGAGUGUGAAGCAGUACCAGGAAUUAAGCCAUCCCAGCCAAGCCAUCUGAAUAAACAGGUGUCUAUGCCCCAGUUCCCUCGACUGGCAACCUCUUCUCAUGGUCCCAUUUGACUCCGACUCCCAACUUAGCAGGCAGGUAAGAGACCAUUUGUUUGUGGCGUGGUGUUUCAUUGUUUGCACUGUGUGAAGAAGUCUCUGGUCUUUGGUUCAGCUCAGAGCAGUCAAGCAGCAACAGGUAAUUUGAUACAUCAGAAUAAGUGUGCAUCACCUGGAGGUUUUCUGGUUUGUUUCAGUUUUGUUUGUUGCUUUUAUUUUUCCCAAGGAAAAGCA